UCUCAGGCUGUUCAGCAAGGCUUGGUCUAACCUCUGUGACUCUGUCCUUUCCUGUAUGUCUGCUAAAGAGAUGUUGAGGUGGUUUGAGGCCUGGCUGUGUUCUUUUUACAGCGAGGUUAUAGAAACCUUAUACAAAU
ensembl:snoRNA